UUUGCCUAUCUCUACAAGGGG
rnacentral:miRNA from 1 species